CCCUUAGAUGUUCUGGGCCGCACGCGCGCUACACUGUUUGAUUCAGCGAGUCUUAACCUUGACCGAAAGGUUUGGGUAAUCUUCUAAAGUCAAACAUGAUGGGGAUCGAUCAUUGCAAUUAUUGAUCGUGAACGAGGAAUUCCUAGUAAAUGCAAGUCAUCAGCUUGCGUUGAUUACGUCCCUGCCCUUUGUACACACCGCCCGUCGCUACUACCGAUUGAAUGGUUUAGUGAGAUCUCCGGAUUGGCUCUGUAGGUCCCGCAAGGGAUUUAUUAGUAGCCAAGAAGCUGCUCAAACUUGAUCAUUUAGAGGAAGUAAAAGUCGUAACA
rnacentral:rRNA from 1 species